UCAGUGCUUCCAGGGGAAUGCUGUCCGGUCCACGUGCUUUCCCAUUCUUGAUCAUCUUAAUGGCUUUGAUAGUUUCUUCCUUUGAGACAGGACUAAGGUUCACACUCAGAUCGUCUCCCUGUUCUAUCAGAAGUGGUUUUUCCAUGGAUGUACCGUUAAGGCUGUUGAAGUGCUCCCUCUACCUAUUAGCUGGUCCGAUGGUUUUGCCAGAGAAUGGUUCCAUCUUCCUUUCACGGGUCUGUUGGUGUUGAUCUUCCUUCCUGAAAGCUGGCGUGUGAUUUUGUACAGUGUUUUCAAGUGGAGCGAAGAGGAUUAAAGAUAAGACAUGCGGAACAAACAGGACACUCAGGAACAAAACUUGCUUUCACUUUUGCUAUUGCCUCGCAGAGCACUGAACGGCGUAGGUACAGAGCGCAAUAUGCGGUAAAAAAAAAGUGUCAUUUUUUCUUUUCAUGCACCCAUAUUGGCAAAUUUCUGAUUCAUUACAACUUGUGUCGAAUACAUGUCAUCAACAUUUCUCUGGACGGAAAGAGGACCAGAAAGUCCAUAAUGGAAUUCAGUGAAGAAGAAAAGAUAUGGUUGGCAAAAAUAGCCUCUGAGGUCCCUGAAAAGAGUGAGCUGACUUUACAUGAACAGCACCUUUGUGAUCUGGCUAAACCAAAGAACUUGCUUGAAGAGUUAAUCUUUGAGUUCAUGGCUUGCAUCAGAUUUGGAAUAUUCAAAGACUGGCAGAGUUUUGGUCUGUACAAAAAAUGUUCUCCAGAGCCCUGAUCCUGGACGUGAGCACUCUGGAAAGAAAGAAUAUGAUUUGUACUGCAUUCCAACCUUCAAGGUGAACAGCCUUCGUGGACAGUGAAAAAGGUUGAACAAUAAAGCUUCACUUAAAUGAAGAGGAGAACACAUCUUGAGAAGAAAACAUCUUGAGAAAAUUGCAGGGUUUCCUAUUUUAUCUCUUAUUGAACAUUUACACAUCUAUGGUGCCAAUUUUGCAUAAAAAGGUUUUCAGAGUUCUGAAUGUUCUUUUAAGUGCUCAGUGAUUUGUAGAUGUGUCAGUGUAAUAACGUCCUCACUUGCCUGUUUCAGAGAAAGAGCAGCAGUGAAUGUAAAUUUCCUGGUUUAUAGUUCAGGACUUAGUUGACACUUUUGUAUAGGUUCAUGAGUUUACACAGUGGAACAUUUUAAUGGAGUAAUUAAGAUGCAUUCCCUAAGGGUAAGUUGAUUUUAGAAAUUUACUUCAUGUGUUGAUGCCCUUAAUCACCAUGCUGCCUGCCAGUGUCUACAGCACUACCAGAUUGAGCCCUCAACUGAAGUAUUGAUAAUUUAACAGCCAUUCCAUAUUUAAUUUGCAAUUCACUUAUCGUUAAAAUGAUCAUUCUGUCAUCCUGAAGCAUACUGAAAAACCUUGAACAUAAGGACAACAGAAAAUUUUGGUGUCACUAUCACACCGCAACCCUAAAGUUGUGAAGUGACACCAGUGUUUCAUGUGCACCACUCUUCAUACACCCCAUUCUGUUUUUUAGUAGUCUGGAGGGGGAGGGACAUGCCCAGGAUGGGAUGCUG